rnacentral:rRNA from 1 species
AUACGGAGGAUGCGAGCGUUAACCGGAUUUAUUGGGUUUAAAGGGAGCGUAGGUGGGAUAUUAAGUCAGCUGUGAAAGUUUGGGGCUCAACCUUAAAAUUGCAGUUGAUACUGGUUUCCUUGAGUACGGUACAGGUGGGCGGAAUUCGUGGUGUAGCGGUGAAAUGCUUAGAUGUCACGAAGAACUCCGAUCGCGAAGGCAGCUCACCGGGCCGGAACUGACACUGAUGCUCGAAAGUGCGGGUAUCAAACAGGAUUAGAUACCCUGGUAGUCCGCACAGUAAACGAUGAAUACUUGUUUUCGGCGAUAUAAUGUCGGAGGCAAAGCGAAAGCGAUAAGUAUUCCACCUGGGGAGUACGCCGGCAACGGUGAAACUCAAAUGAAUUGGCGGGG